AAAGGCCUGCAGCUUGCUGCGGGUACUCGAGUGGCGAACGGGUGAGUAACACGUGGGUGAUCUGCCUUGCACUUCGGGAUAAGCUUGGGAAACUGGGUCUAAUACCGGAUAGGACAGCUGUUUAGUGUCAGUUGUGGAAAGUUUUUUCGGUGCAAGAUGAGCUCGCGGCCUAUCAGCUUGUUGGUGGGGUAAUGGCCUACCAAGGCGUCGACGGGUAGCCGGCCUGAGAGGGUGUACGGCCACAUUGGGACUGAGAUACGGCCCAGACUCCUACGGGAGGCAGCAGUGGGGAAUAUUGCACAAUGGGCGGAAGCCUGAUGCAGCGACGCCGCGUGGGGGAUGAAGGCCUUCGGGUUGUAAACUCCUUUCGACAGGGACGAAGCGUAAGUGACGGUACCUGUAUAAGAAGCACCGGCUAACUACGUGCCAGCAGCCGCGGUAAUACGUAGGGUGCGAGCGUUGUCCGGAAUUACUGGGCGUAAAGAGCUCGUAGGUGGUUUGUCGCGUCGUCUGUGAAAUUCCGGGGCUUAACUCCGGGCGUGCAGGCGAUACGGACUGACUUGAGUGCUGUAGGGGAGACUGGAAUUCCUGGUGUACGGUGAAAUGCGCAGAUAUCAGGAGGAACACCGAUGGCGAAGGCAGGUCUCUGGGCAGUAACUGACGCUGAGGAGCGAAAGCAUGGGUAGCGAACUAGAAUUAGAUACCCUGGUAGUCCUAUGCCGUAAACGGUGGGCGCUAGGUGUAGGGGGCUUCCACGUCUUCUGUGCCGUAGCUAACGCAUUAAGCGCCCCGCCUGGGGAGUACGGCCGCAAGGCUA
rnacentral:rRNA from 1 species